GUGAUGAUUUUGGCCGUCAGAAGAUCACCCAAGAUACAUAUGUAUGUUCCAAACACUUUGUUGAUGGACAUGGUCCUACAGGCGAACAUCCUGACCCUAUACCAGCUACCGCUAGAGGUGUGGAACUUAGAAUCUUCAACACGAAGAAGUCAAGACCACCACCUAAAGGCCGUGUGAGCUUGUCGCCAGAGAAGAAAAAAAGUCGUUCACAACUCCAGGUACUCAAUGUGAACAUUGAUAAGGAAAAUGAAAUAACUGAGGGUUCUGAAGAGCAAGAUAAAAAUGUUGAUAAUGAAGAUGCAAGAAAACAGGUUUCCUGUUCUGAUGCAGCUACUCAGACUGACAUCUUGCAUGAUGAUCUGGCUGGCUACAGUGAUGAUCA